AUUGAGUCUGGUGUGCAGGCGGUAAAACAAUGGUGCUGAGCCAUUGUGUAUAUACCUGUCGUUUCAGGUUGCUGCAAUAGAAAGAACGGAACGGAACGGUAAAACAAUGGUGUUCAUGCUCUUGGUUUCCCUCCAUGCCCACGUCUCCAUGAGUACAGAGGCCAGACCGCUUACCCCCGAUAAGGAACAGAGGUAUGUGGAAGUGUUGCAGUCGCUGGGGAUCAGAUGCCGCUGCUGCGAUGGCGUGGGAGGUGAAUGCCGGAGCACAUGGGCCUCCCAUUGUGCCAAGCUGGAGUGCCAUCCUUCCAAGUUCUUAUGAAGCUGUCCUGGAUGGAAGUUUGAUUACAACAUCAUUUUUGGUUGAAUCGUAAUUGAUGGUUUUCAUCACAACCAUCUCGUUGAUACUGUGAAUCCAAUGGGAGGAUGGUGUUGUCACCACCGUUUCAUGCAAGCCCUGUUAAUGUCUGAGGAGGUAACUUCUUCCUCCAUUGGACAACCAAUUGUUGAUCACUUUAAUUUCACAUUAGCUGUAUGACCUGUACUAAAUGUAAGUUGCAAUAAUAUAUAUAUAUAUAUAUAUAGUUUAAA